GAUGAAGAACGUAGCGAAAUGCGAUAACUAAUGUGAAUUGCAGAAUUCAGUGAAUCAUCGAGUCUUUGAACGCACAUUGCGCCCCCUGGUAUUCCGGGGGGCAUGCCUGUCCGAGCGUCAUUGCUGCCCUCAAGCACGGCUUGUGUGUUGGGCUCCGUCCCCCCGGGGACGGGCCCGAAAGGCAGCGGCGGCACCGAGUCCGGUCCUCGAGCGUAUGGGGCUUUGUCACCCGCUCUGUAGGCCCGGCCGGCGCCAGCCGACAACCCAUCAUCCUUUUCAGGUUGACCUCGGAUCAGGUAGGGAUACCCGCUGAACUUAAGCAUAUCAAUAAGCGGGGA
rnacentral:misc_RNA from 1 species